GACGAACGCUGGCGGCGUGCUUAACACAUGCAAGUCGAACGGAAAGGCCUCUUUCGGGGGGUACUCGAGUGGCGAACGGGUGAGUAACACGUGAGUAACCUGCCCUUGACUUUGGGAUAACUUCAGGAAACUGGGGCUAAUACCGGAUAGGAGCUCCUGCUGCAUGGUGGGGGUUGGAAAGUUUCGGCGGUUGGGGAUGGACUCGCGGCUUAUCAGCUUGUUGGUGGGGUAGUGGCUUACCAAGGCUUUGACGGGUAGCCGGCCUGGGAGGGUGACCGGCAACAUUGGGACUGGGAUACGGCCCAGACUCCUACGCGAGGCAGCAGUGGGGAAUAUUGCACAAGGGGUGGAAGCCUGAUGCAGCAACGCCGUGUGCGGGAUGACGGUCUUCGGGUUGUAAACCGCUUUCGCUCAUGACGAAGCUUUGUGUGACGGUAGUGGGUAAAGAAGCACCGGCUAACUACGUG
rnacentral:rRNA from 1 species